GCCCUCUAGGUGCUCAUGUGCUCUACUGCUCUGAGAAGCCCUUUCUGACUCAGAUCCUCCCAGAUCUGGGUGCUCCAUCCAUCCCACCCUCAUUACUUCCUGUUCUAGACUCCAUCACAGCAGCAGAAUUGCCAAGCAGGUGUCAGUCUCCAGAGUGAAUCCAAGGAAUGGAGCCCAGAAAUAGGUAUUUUGUGAUGCAGCUUUCAUGCAACCUGUCUUCUCUGAACCACAGCUCCAAUUCCCACGGUGUCUGCAUCUGGGACAAUCACAGAGAUUUUAUAGACUAGUAGUCAAGAUGAUCCUCAAGGCCUAUUACUCACUGGUCUAUUCAAGGAAGUGAUAUAAUUACUCCUCUAGGUACUAGCCAGUAAUAACAUAAACAAGAAAUAAGAAAAAUAAAUGAAGUAAGUAUA